rnacentral:rRNA from 1 species
UACAGAGGGGGCAAGCGUUGUCCGGAAUUAUUGGGCGUAAAGAGCUCGUAGGCGGUCUGUCGCGUCGGCUGUGAAAUCCCGGAGCUCAACUCCGGGUCUGCAGUCGAUACGGGCAAACUGGAGUACUGCAGGGGAGACUGGAAUUCCUGGUGUAGCGGUGAAAUGCGCAGAUAUCAGGAGGGACACCGGUGGCGAAGGCGGGUCUCUGGGCAGUAACUGACGCUGAGGAGCGAAAGCGUGGGGAGCGAACAGG